GAUGAACGCUAGCGGCAGGCUUAACACAUGCAAGUCGAGGGGCAGCAUGAUGAAACUUUCGGGUUUCAUUGAUGGCGACCGGCGCAAGGGUGCGUAACGCGUGAGCAACUUGCCCUUAUCAGGGGGAUAACCGGUGGAAACGCCGACUAAUACCCCAUAGCAUCACUUGAAGGCAUCUUUUAGUGAUUAAAGAAUUUCGGAUAAGGAUAGGCUCGCGUGACAUUAGCUAGAUGGCGGGGUAACGGCCCACCAUGGCGACGAUGUCUAGGGGUUCUGAGAGGAAGGUCCCCCACACUGGAACUGAGACACGGUCCAGACUCCUACGGGAGGCAGCAGUGAGGAAUAUUGGUCAAUGGCCGAGAGGCUGAACCAGCCAUGCCGCGUGAAGGUCACGGCCCUAUGGGUCUUAAACUUCUUUUGUAAGGGAGCAAUAAGGUCUACGUGUAGACUGAUGAGAGUACCUUACGAAUAAGCAUCGGCUAACUCCGUGCCAG
rnacentral:rRNA from 1 species